rnacentral:lncRNA from 1 species
GCCCUGCCAGGCUGGGGCUCCUGCCCUGUAGAACUCAGAGAUGGAGCCGGCGCCACCUGACUAGGGAGGACUAGUUUAGAUCUCCAGAUUCGGUGUGGCACAAUUGAAAAGGCAGUGGCUUUCAGGCUAGUCACUGCACGGACUAGUAAGGCAGCUCUCUUGCUCCCAGCACCGUGCAUCUGAUUCUCCGUUCUCAGGGACCACCUGACAUGGUUAAACAGCCCUGGCUUAACGUUCCAGACACUGCUGCCAAUACUUGCGGCUGUUAGUUCCUGAUUUCUGCUUAAGGCUUUGCAGUUCUGCUUAUAGUCCUGUGAUCAGAGACACUUCCUCCUGUGGCAGCUGAAUUCCACGUUUCCCGAAACAGGAUUUCCCUAUUUUGUAGAGAACUUCCAUGAUUGAAUCUUCCUGCUUCUGGAAAUAAAAUGGGUAGUCCCUUGCAUACAAAGCUUGGAGGGUGUCUCUCAUUCUUCUCUUCUUCUGCUUUUUCUCAUCUACCUGAGAAUAAUUUUAAAUGGAUCGAAGGAAUGAAUGUCAGCCACCAAACUGAGAAGUUGACUUGCCUUUAAUCACCUGUAACUUUGUUAGAAUAAUAAAUUCUGUAGAAAGCUAA